rnacentral:rRNA from 1 species
UACAGAGGUCUCAAGCGUUGUUCGGAUUCAUUGGGCGUAAAGGGUGCGUAGGCGGCGCGGUAAGUCGGGUGUGAAAUCUCGGAGCUUAACUCCGAAACUGCAUUCGAUACUGCCGUGCUUGAGGACUGGAGAGGAGACUGGAAUUUACGGUGUAGCGGUGAAAUGCGUAGAUAUCGUAAGGAAGACCAGUGGCGAAGGCGGGGUCUCUGGACAGUUCCUGACGUGAGGCACGAAGGCCAGGGGAGCAAACGGG